rnacentral:rRNA from 1 species
GUACACUCCUACGGGAGGCAGCAGUGGGGAAUAUUGGACAAUGGGCGCAAGCCUGAUCCAGCCAUGCCGCGUGAGUGAUGAAGGCCCUAGGGUUGUAAAGCUCUUUCACCGGUGAAGAUAAUGACGGUAACCGGAGAAGAAGCCCCGGCUAACUUCGUGCCAGCAGCCGCGGUAAUACGAAGGGGGCUAGCGUUGUUCGGAUUUACUGGGCGUAAAGCGCACGUAGGCGGACUAUUAAGUCAGGGGUGAAAUCCCGGGGCUCAACCCCGGAACUGCCUUUGAUACUGGUAGUCUUGAGUUCGAGAGAGGUUAGUGGAAUUCCGAGUGUAGAGGUGAAAUUCGUAGAUAUUCGGAGGAACACCAGUGGCGAAGGCGGCUCACUGGCUCGAUACUGACGCUGAGGUGCGAAAGCGUGGGGAGCAAACAGGAUUAGAUACCCCAGUAGUCCCA